GGGCGAAUGGUCUAGAGGUAUGAUAUUCGCUUUGCAUCUGAAUCUUCAGUAUAAUGCCUGCGAAGGGUCCGGGGUUCAAUUCCCCGUUCGUCCA
rnacentral:tRNA from 2 species